GUCUACAGCCAUGCCACCCUGAACAAACCGGAUCCUGUCUGAUCUCGGAAGCUAAGCAGGGUUGGGCCUGGUUAGUACUUGGAUAGGAGACCACCUCGGAAGACCGGGCGCUGUAGGCA
rnacentral:rRNA from 1 species